UCUGAUAUGGCAGAUUAGUGCAAUGGUCCUAAAAUCCAUAUAUGUAAACCCUACUUUCAGAA
rnacentral:tRNA from 1 species